GACGAACGCUGGCGGCGUGCCUAAUACAUGCAAGUAGAACGCUGAAGGAGGAGCUUGCUUCUCUGGAUGAGUUGCGAACGGGUGAGUAACGCGUAGGUAACCUGCCUGGUAGCGGGGGAUAACUAUUGGAAACGAUAGCUAAUACCGCAUAACAGUAGAUAUCGCAUGAUAUCUACUUGAAAGGUGCAAUUGCAUCACUACCAGAUGGACCUGCGUUGUAUUAGCUAGUUGGUGAGGUAACGGCUCACCAAGGCGACGAUACAUAGCCGACCUGAGAGGGGGAUCGGCCACACUGGGACUGAGACACGGCCCAGACUCCUACGGGAGGCAGCAGUAGGGAAUCUUCGGCAAUGGACGGAAGUCUGACCGAGCAACGCCGCGUGAGUGAAGAAGGUUUUCGGAUCGUAAAGCUCUGUUGUAAGAGAAGAACGAGUGUGAGAGUGGAAAGUUCACACUGUGACGGUAGCUUACCAGAAAGGGACGGCUAACUACGUG
rnacentral:rRNA from 1 species